rnacentral:rRNA from 1 species
UACGGUAGGAUGCAAGCGUUGUCCGGAAUUACUGGGCGUAAAGGGCGAGCAGGUGGCACUACAAGUCUGAUGUAAAAUCUCCCGGCUUAACUGGGAGGGGCCAUUGGAAACUGUAGAGCUGGAGUGCAGGAGAGGCUAACGGAAUUCCCGGUGUAGUGGUGAAAUGCGUAGAUAUCGGGAGGAACACCAGUGGCGAAGGCGGUUGAGCUGGCCUGUAACUGACACUGAGGCGCGAAGGCGUAGGGGAGCGAACAGG